rnacentral:rRNA from 1 species
GGAGCUAAUCCCUUAAAGCUACUCUCAGUUCGGAUUGUAGGCUGAAACUCGCCUACAUGAAGCUGGAGUUACUAGUAAUCGCAGAUCAGAAUGCUGCGGUGAAUGCGUUCCCGGGUCUUGUACACACCGCCCGUCACACCACGGGAGUUGGAGACGCCCGAAGCCGAUUAUCUAACCUUUUGGAAGAAGUCGUCGAAGGUGGAAU